GUGACGAGCGUGACCGCCGGGGUGGUUGCUGAGUUCAAGGUGCUUUCCUCGAAUGAACGAAAGAACGAACAACGUCAUCGCCUUAGACCACUGUGGAGCCUUGACAGGGAGCUCUGGGGCAGAGGAAGGAAGGGAGGAAGGAAAGUAGGAAGAACGGAAAAGCCUCUAUCAACCUUUGAUACAGUUUGGAAAUCAACUUUGGAGGUUUGUCAGACUGGCUUAAAAUAGCAUCUGGCUUGUCCAGUGUUUGCUGCGCAGAGAGAAUACGGUGUUGUAUCUGCAAAAAUUCACCUCAGCUCCAUCACAGACUGGUCUUCUCUGGCUGCCUGACCCUGUUGAGACCCUUGUCACCAUCUGAUCCUUCUAAGGUUAUGGAAGGGAAAUUUGGUUUUAUCUCGAUUACCGGGAUGAAAAUAUCAUGGUUGUGCAGAGAGUGUGAAGAGCAACGCCAGUUUCAGGAGAGGAGAUUAAACAUUGAUUAUGUAUGCAUAAUGAAGUCACUCUUGUCUGGCCUGGCCUGGCCUGGGCUGGAACAACUGUUUUCCUUUACUUAGGUACUGAGUAGAGUAGAUUGGGUGUAUAUAAGUGGUAGAGAAAUAGAUGGAGAGAGGGGAUGCAGUGAGAGGGAAGGAGGGAGCAGAGAGAGAGAGAAGAUAGGGAAGAUAGAGAGAGAGGGAGACAGAGAGAGAGGAGGGAGACAGAGAGCACAGAGAGAGAUAAGAGCAGAGAGAGAGAGAGAGAGAGAGAGAGAGAGAGAGAAAACACAGGGAGCGAGCAGAGAUUAGUUGAAAGGACCAGAGGCAAACACAAGAGGCUAGCGG
ensembl:lncRNA